UAUAUGUAUGUGUGUAUGUACAUAUAUGUGUGUGUAUAUAUAUAUGUGUGUGUGUGUAUGCAUAUAU
rnacentral:miRNA from 1 species